CCUACGGGUGGCAGCAGUGGGGAAUAUUGCACAAUGGGCGAAAGCCUGAUGCAGCAACGCCGCGUGAGCGAUGAAGGCCUUCGGGUCGUAAAGCUCUGUCCUAAAGGAAGAUAAUGACGGUACUUGAGGAGGAAGUCCCGGCCAACUACGUGACAGCAGCCGCGGUAAUACGUAGGGGGCUAGCGUUAUCCGGAAUUACUGGGCGAAAGGGGUGCGUGGGUGGUUUGUUAAGUCAGAGGUGAAAGGCGACGGGUCAACCGUAGGAAGCCUUUGAAACUGGGAAACUUGAGUGCAGGAGAGGAGAGUGGAAUUCCUAGUGUAGCGGUGAAAUGCGUAGAUAUUAGGAGGAACACCAGUUGCGAAGGCGGCUCUCUGGACUGUAACUGACGCUGAGGCACGAAAGCGUGGGGAGCAAACAGGAUUAGAUACCCCUGUAGUC
rnacentral:rRNA from 1 species